CACGUAGGGGGCAAGCGUUGUCCGGAAUCAUUGGGCGUAAAGAGCUCGUAGGCGGCUCAGUAAGUCGGGUGUGAAACCCUCAGGCUCAACCUGGGGACGCCACCCGAUACUGCUGUGGCUAGAGUCCAGUAGGGGAGUGUGGAAUUCCCGGUGUAGCGGUGAAAUGCGCAGAUAUCGGGAGGAACACCAAUGGCGAAGGCAGCUCGCUGGAACGGUACUGACGCUGAGGCGCGAAAGCGUGGGGAGCGAACAGG
rnacentral:rRNA from 1 species